rnacentral:rRNA from 1 species
GUCCACGCCCUAAACUAUGGAUACUCGACAUAUGCGAUACACUGUAUGUGUCUGAGCGAAAGCAUUAAGUAUCCCACCUGGGAAGUACGAUCGCAAGAUUGAAACUCAAAGGAAUUGGCGGGGGUCAGCACAAGCGGUGGAGCAUGUGGUUUAAUUCGAUGAUACGCGAGGAACCUUACCUGGGCUAGAAUGCAUUUUGACCGUGGGUGAAAGCCCAUUUUGUAGCAAUACACAAUUUGUAAGGUGCUGCAUGGCUGUCGU